GUUGAAACAACUGUUUUCGUACGAUCACCGAAGUUAAAUAACAUCGAGCCUGGACAGUACCUAGAUGGAUUACUGCUUGGGAAUAUCAGGUGCUGUAAG